ACGACCGAAAGAUGUCGGCACACAUGAUCCGAAAAUCGUAUGAAUCCUCGAUUUGUACGAUAGGAUCUGUGUGUCUAUGGCCACCUUUAGUGUAUCAGCGACAGCGUUCUUGAUCCCCUGCAUAAUAGACUCCUGAUUGAAGUAUAUAGUAGAAGUGGAAGCAGACUCUCUUUCUUUAUCAUGCACAGCAAAUUCCUGAAAGCAUGUCUGGCAAAGUCUCAUGCAUUAUAGCAGGAUUGACACAUGCCCUACUACAGGGUCUGAAAUCUGCACUCUCCUGUGCCGUUUUUUAGAAGCAGCAGGGACAUGCCGUAAUGAGAGUAAUAAUAAAUGAACAGCUCUUUUCGCAGAACCCUAAAAUAAAAUAUAAGUAUGCUGGUAGGGCACUCGCCCAGUAGAUUGUAAGGCAGCCUGAUCCACUGUAAGGACUCCAGGCACAGAAUGCUGAAGCCACUCUGAAAUCAAAAAACCCGCCAGUGACUUCACUUCCGGUAUGCAACUGCAGGUGGCACCAGAGCACCAAAAAGGUAUGUAUACAUACAAGCCUGCCCCGGCUGCAGGGGCCUCUGCACAGUAAUAUAUCGGCAGAGCUUCGGGUGGAGGGAGCUGUUGAACUGCACCCAGUGAUCGGAUUACAAGAAUCCAUGAGUGCCCUACCUGCAACUUCUACUUACCCACAGAAGAAAACAAAGACGAGGGGAGUUAGAGGAGGAGGAGUACGAGGGGGAGCGCAAUGAGGCGGGCGAGAGGCACGGGUACAGGAGGGCGAGACUGCGCAAUGGAGACUCCUACGAGGGACAAUAUAAGAGGGGGAAGAGACACUUUAUAAUGUUUCUAUCUGAUUUGAUUGGUUGCUGCAGAUUUGCCGCCCCCCCUGGAUCUAGUUUAGAGAAAGUAAAAGUCAGCUAAUUGAAAGGAAAAGGAACCUUUUAUUUGUCGAGCAUUUUCAACAACGCGUCGAGGGCCAAGACGCAGAGAUCCACAAGGCAACCAGGGUGAGACGCAGCGGUGUAAGACGUGCCUCACUUUUUGGGGAUCAGGUUAUCCAGACGGAGACAGUCAGUACGGAGUGCGCACAGUUUGAUUUGAGACCACUCAAGAUUUAAAGCCUUAAAGUGGGCGUGGUAUAAUGAAAGUGGGCGUGGUAGCUCCACCCCUUUAUUGGGCCCCCCAACUAAAACCAUCUUCUGCCUAUGUGCCACACUCCUUCAGUGUAUGUGAGGACUGAGCAACCCAGAAAGGGCUCUGCCCUAAUAAACACUGUUAAGGGCCACGAAAUUCUGUAUUUGCAUAAAAACAAAGGAUGUUUAUUCAGUCCAUAACUUGCCCUUUAAUAAGAUCCGUUUAUAUGUCGGCGCAUGAAAUGCAUAGGGCAGUGCCCCCCGUGUUUGUGUCCUGGGCAGUGCUUGUGUAUUGCAUUAUUGCCAUUCUCUCCAUAGGACGAUGUUGUGGGUAUCACAGUGGGCAGAUAAGGAAGAGAGAGGUCGGGCACAUAGCUGAAAUGCUUGGGAAAGUUUCCUAUAGCCCCAGGCGUUUUCUGUGUUUAGGAAUUCAGUCAAUAACAGGUGUGAAUUUCACCCAACUGCCAUCAGGCCCUACCACUUAUGGGGCCAGUCUGGGGGUGUAGGUGGCAAAGUACAGUCUGAGCUGCAGGAUCACAACAUGUUUUUCUGAGAAUCAGCGACGCACGACUGUAACAAUAAACAUUGCUCCGCCUAAAUAACUGCACCCUCCUCUCCUUUGUGAUCCACUCCUCUGAAUUGGGUGCCUUGAACUCUGCUGAUCUCAGGUGCCUUGAUCUGUUCCCAAGCAGAGUUUUCUCAUCAAUACCAAGUGAGCAGAAGGCAAAAGGUGUGGCAAGGAAACGGCCAUACUGUGUAUUUUGCCAUAAAGAUGGACAGAGAGUCUGUAUAGAGGCCCAGAUGUGGGUGACUGAUAGGUGGGGACCCUCUGGGGGGUAUAUUUAUCAAUGAGUGAAGUUAGAGAUCACCACAGUCCUUUAGGGCUGGGACACACUGGGCGAUUUAGGGAGAUUUAAUUGCCGCAACUUUCCACAACCAAUCUUCCCC